CGGCCGCGAUUCGCCCUUCGGGGUGCAGCAGGCGCGAAAACUUUGCAAUGCGGGAAACCGUGACAAGGGAACUCUGAGUGCCCGUAAAAUCGGGCUGUCCAUCGGUUUAAAUAACCGGUGAAGAAAGGGCCGGGCAAGACCGGUGCCAGCCGCCGCGGUAAUACCGGCGGCUCGAGUGGUGGCCACUAUUACUGGGCUUAAAGCGUUCGUAGCUGGUCUGUUAAGUCUCUGGGGAAAUCUUCCGGCUUAACCGGAAGGCGUCUCAGGGAUACUGGCAGACUAGGGACCGGGAGAGGUGAGAGGUACUCCAGGGGUAGGAGUGAAAUCCUGUAAUCCUUGGGGGACCACCUGUGGCGAAGGCGUCUCACCAGAACGGCUCCGACAGUGAGGGACGAAAGCUGGGGGAGCAAACCGGAUUAGAUACCCGGGUAGUCCCAGCUGUAAACGAUGCGCGUUAGGUGUAUCGGUGACCACGAGUCACCGAGGUGCCGAAGAGAAAUCGUGAAACGUGCCGCCUGGGAAGUACGGUCGCAAGGCUGAAACUUAAAGGAAUUGGCGGGGGAGCAC
rnacentral:rRNA from 1 species